UCUCUUUUUAGAUUCUAAAUUUACUAUUUAUGAACCACUAAAUUCUCUAAACUCACCUCGCAAGACCCGAUUAACUCAACUCAAAAGUUUGGUCAUAACAUUAUCAAUUAUUUGUUUAAUAUUCUAUUAGAAUUAUCACCGACAGUGAUAAUUAUUUUAAACCUCAAAGCCAUUUUCCUACCUUCAAUAAUAUACAUGUUCCAUCAUUCUACCCUUAAUAGUAUUUCACUUUUUUUUUUUAUCACUUUAAUAGUAGUUAUUCCUAAUUUGUCAAAAUUCUAAAUACCAAUUAUCAUCAUUUAAAUCCUAUUCAUCUAUACUCACAUUUUUGUAGUUGAUUCUUUUCGUAAUAUCCAUACAAUAAUAGAACUAGAUCCAGUCUUAUUUAUCUAAUUCAUUGGUGUAACAUCAAGUCCAUAGUUGGACGAUUAUCCUUUAAUGUCCUAUAUCAUUCAUCAAUGCACAUAACUGUCAUGGCCCACUAUUUAUAUAACAUAAAAUCUUAAUUUCUUUUUAUGAGUCAUUUACUUCUUCUCGGAUCAUAGAAUCUCUCAUUAAACAAUAGUCCUUAUUUAUAACUUACAUAACGUCUAGAAUGCAACCAUUAUUUUAAAUAUCAAAAGACUAAAUCUCGUUGAAUUUAAUUCAUAAUCAUGUCCUAUUAACCCAUAAGGUGCCACAAUCCACACAAUAUCCGUUACUAGGUACAUAAAGAUUAAAGCAAUU
rnacentral:lncRNA from 1 species